CUCUUCUUCACAGUUCAAUAUGACUUCAUAUUAAUUUUUCUUGCAUGUGAUUUUGCCUAGAAUGCUGUACCAGUCAGUGCCUCCUCCUACUGUUAAAAAAAAAAAAACCCAAUCUCUUAUAUAAGCUCACUUGGCUGGUAGACAGGCUGGUUUUUAAAUGUGUGGUGCUUUCACCCUCCCACAGCAUUUGUAUCAGAGUACAACCCGAGGAGCAGAACCAAUGGGAAGUGUGUGUGUGUGUGUGUGUGUGUGUGCCCCAGGUCCACAGGUAAACAGUCAUCAAGGAAGAAUCCUGAGGGAAAAGAGAACAAUUGCAGCUCCAACUGUUGCAUCAUGCCAAUGAGGUCAAUCAGCAGAUCUGUGACAAAGAGGUGGAAACAGAGUCCAUCAUUGUCAGUGAGGAGGUAGCUCACAAAGCCCACUGGACCUUUGCAUUCAUCUCCUGCUGCUGGAGAAAGAAAAUUUCCUUAAACUCUUUUGAAAUGUUUAGAAUGUUAACUCAUCAGUUCUCCUGCGACUAUGAGUCAAGAGACAUUAGAAACAUUAGAAGAGUUCUACUGUUUCACAGUCUUAACUCAGAAAAUGCUCCAAAGGCAAUGCUCCAAACUCCAAGUGAAAAAGUUAUACAUGCAACUAUCUCUAAUUCAUCUUCAAGCUAGAUCUCCUUUCAACAUCUUCAAAACACAUCAGGUAACGCACUGGCUUCCCUUUGUUUCUUGGCU
rnacentral:lncRNA from 1 species